rnacentral:tRNA from 2 species
GGGCCGUUAGCUCAACUGGCAGAGCAGGGGACUCUUAAUCCCAAGGUUGGAGGUUCGAUUCCUCCACGGCCCA